GAUGGCUGUCCCAUUGUUUGCAUCUGAGAACUGGUUGUACUUUGUCAGUUGAUCAAUCAAUUUUGUGCAGACGGUCUGAGGGAUGCUCACGUGGUUAAUCAUGGCUUAAGGUUUUUAUACUGGUUUUUCUUUGCUGUUUUGUUCCUUCAUCUUAUACAAGAAUGUAGCAUGAUUUGGGAAGAAAAUGGAAAGAGAGAAGGGGGACAAAAUUUACAACCCACCACAAAUUAAUGGGUCAAUCUGCAAGUGGAAAUGUAAUUGGACUGUUUGUCGUGUUUUUAUAGUCUUGUACAGUCAAAAGGGGAUUGAUUUUGUAAAAGAUGAGAUCAGUUUUAUGCCUGUGGCUUAGUCGCAGUUAAAUUUAGUAGUUCUCCUACUUAGUGCAGUCCUUCCCAGGGUAAGUGUGCAAAUACGCUUGUUGGGGUUCUGUUCGAUAACCAUUUAUCUUGUGACUAGUUUUUUUUUUAAAAUAUAGAAAAUAGAAAACCUUUAUAUAUAUUCUGGAAAUCUAUCAUACCCUGUUUAUAAUGGAACAGAGUUAAUUUAUUUUGUGGAUGAGGACACAGAAAUUGAUGCUUCAGCACACUGUUACAUUAUUUGGACUGUCAAGUUUAGUAGUUAAUAAGUUGUAAACAUGAUGAUCUUAUGAUAUUCAUUUCGUGUAAUUUUGUUUAAUUUGUAAUCUUGUAUGAUUUCUUAUGUAAAUUUUGCAGGUCAGCAAUUAGAAUAAUUUUUAGUCAGUUUAGUAGCAAUGGCUUAAGUUUUAAGGGAGGGGCAAAGAUCUGAUAAGGGCAACUAGUUUUACCCCUUUUUGCCAUUAACACCUCUGAAUUAACUUAUUGACUCCUUGUGGCAUCAUGGAAUACUUGCAGUUGAGUUGAUGCCAUGCAAGUUAGCUCUAAAUCUUAUUAGAUUUCACUUUGUUUACAACUUUGCUAAUGCCCCAGAAUCUGCUCGAAUGGAUUGGUCCGCAUUCACCAAGGGCUACUUCUUGAAUAGAGAAACUCUGGUUGCCGUCCUACUUGUAAUUGAUGCGAGUGUAUCACCUCAGAAGAUCGACCUUGACUGUGCUAAUUGGCUUGGACAGAACAAUGAAGAUUGCUUUUGAAGAUGAUGAGGAUCAGCGCAUCGUACAAAGGGCUUGGGAAGGUCUUAUUCCAAACCGUAUUUUGAUAUAUUGCUUUGAGUGGAUCUGCAACAAAAGUUGGGAAGUCUACCACCAAUGCGAAUAGGGCUUCCUUGGGAGAGAGGUUGUAUGCCUUGAUUAACAAGGAUUCUAGGAACGAGGACACAUCUGAUAGUGAACAUAAGCAAACCCUGCCUGACAAGCGUGUUGGAAAGGAAAUGAGCAGUUCAGUGCCUCUAGAUGAUAAUAGAAAACGGAGGUCCCAGGAUUGGUUAAUGUUGACUUUGCAGAUAUGCGAGCUAUCAUGGAAAAUGCAGGGUCAUCUCUAAUGGGAAUAGGAACUGCAACUGGAGGGAGGAUUGAGUUCUUACUUGCAUGAUAUUUUCGGAAUUAUUGGUUUUCUAUAUUUUUUUUUCCUGCUUUUAACUUUAUUUUUCUGUUUAAUAUCUGAAAUUUCUGGUUUUUUCUCAUAGCAUGAUCAAAUUAGGAAGAUGAGGAAAGUAGACCAAUUUUUUUUGGGUACAAGAAAGAAGUUGACAUGCAUGCCUAUAUUGAUAAAUUGUUGGUUUCUUAUUCCUUUGCAGGCAAGACUAGGGCAAGAGAUGUUGCAUUGAAUGCCAUUCAAUCACCUUUAUUAGAUGUUGGUAUAGAAAGAGCUACUGGACCCCACUUUUCUGUUUGUUUGUUAUUAAAUCCCGCACCCCACUUUUUUCUUUUCUUAGCUAUUUUCAUUAGCAUGAACUGAACACCUUCCAAACCUUCCAAAUUAUAGGGAAAAAAAGAAAAAGAAAAACUAAAGUACGUUAUAUUAUUCUGUUUCUAAUAAAUAAUUGAUCACAUUAUUGUUGUGUACCUUUGUUUAUGUCAAUGAUUAUAUCCCAAGCACUAUUGGUUGGUCAUGUCACGUGAUUGUAUUUUGCAU